CUAGACAGAAGCUGGCAUUGCCUCCCCUCCUGCGAACUUCAUUCCUCUGGAUCCUUCUCUUGUUGAUCCUGCUUCGCUUUUGGUUGGAUUUCUUCAGAAACAGCUGUCUGGUGUUCCAGGGUUCUCUGCUCUGCUGUGGUCCGCCUUGCUCACCGAAGAUCGCCGCUGUGGUCGCUCCUGGGCCCUGGGAACCAGGGAGACUCGAGAGAUUCAGGUUCAAUCCCUUGGUCAGGGAGAUCCCCUGGGGAAGGAAAUGGCAGUCCACUCCAGUAUUGUUGCCUGGAAAAUUCCAUGGAUAGAGGAGCCUGGUGGUCUACAGGAAGUACUCUGGAGCUAAUGCAUGGGGGCUGGGAAAGACCCUGCCUGUGGGUCUCUGGCACCCCAUUGACAUCAGAGCACCGAGUGGAGGGUUGCAGACUGCGGGGCAUCCAAAGGACCCAAGACAGGUUGGCUCUCCCCACAGUGCUUCUUCAUACCAUGUGGACUCCUACGAGGACAAUGAGCAUCACAACUUCCUUUGAAUUUGAUCUGGACAGGCCUGAUAAUCUAUGUGAGCCUGCUUCUGCUGACUCCAAAAGUCCUGAGUCUGCCGUUUGAUCCUCAAGACAAUGCCUUCCUGUCCUGGGCUCAUUCCUAUGCUGCCUUCCACAAUCAGUCUAACUGCUGGGUCUGCAGAGUGCUUCCCUUUUCAUCGGAGGGCUUCCCUAUGGUGGGCGUCUCCACUUCAAGGAAAGGACUUCCUCCAAGUCUGUGAAUACCUUCGACAACAACAAUCAUAUGUGAUGCCUCUUCUUAAUCUGAUGACAUCUAACAAUCCUAAAAUGGACUGGUGCAACACUCUGUACCUUAACUGUGGACAUAAUGUGACUUCUAACUUUGCUGAUUGUUCUGCUUUUGCUGUUUGCUCCCUGCAUCUGUAACUGUGUAACUGGAUUUGUUUCUAGCUGCAUGAAGGCUUUUAAGUUACAAAUGGUUGCUCACACUCUUGCGACUUCAGCAGCUUCCUCGAACUACUACUUGGGGCCCCUGGAUCAGAGAUCCUCAAUAUGAGGCUUAUGAGAACAUGUUGCAUCACCAGUUUAGGGAAGAUGCCCCUUCUCAGCUCAGAAGCAGUUACAGAAUGAGAACAAUGCCCCUUUCCCUAGGCAACAUAAUUCUCCUAAAAGAAAAGGGGAGAAUGAGAGGGUAACAGGCAGGAAAGCUAGGGGUGUCCAAACAGAGGAAAUAGGCUGCAACUGUCAGACAUUUUUUAUCUCUCUGUUAAGCGGCAGGAGGAAACAAAUUACGAGUGUGAGAUUUUUGGCUUCCCUGGUGGCUCAGUUGGUAAAGAAUCCCCCUGCAAUGCGGAAGACCUGGGUUUGAUCUCUGGGUUGGGGACAUCCCCUGGAGAAGGGAAUGGCUACCCACUCCAGUAUUCUGGCCUGGAGAAUUCCACGGACUGUAUAGUCCAUGGAGUCUCAAAGAGUUGGACACGACUGAGCGACUUUAAAAUGUAAAAGAAGUACUCGCUUUACACAUGCAUAUCUAUGUCCACAAUAAGCACAACACACACACACACACACACACACACACAGUGUCAUUAUCUUUUGGAGUACAAUGGACACAAAUUGUAUUAUGAAUCUAGCUGUAAUUUCCUCUUACUCAGGUAGAAGAUACUCAUCAUCUUUGAGUAAAAUUGCUCUUCUAUGGGCUCAUUGUUCAUGCAAAAGUCAAAAUUCUAUCUUAGAAUCAACAAAUUGAAACUGUAGAUGCUAAACAACUCUGAAUAAAAUCAUCAGAGCUGAAUUUUGUGAGCAAAUCGAAUCUCUGUGGGGUUAUGGUGGGGUUUGAGUGAGGAUAUGAUGAAUGAUAUCUUUCAGUGAGAAAAAGCGGGG
ensembl:lncRNA